rnacentral:pre_miRNA from 1 species
UUAACUCAUAUUUGUAUGGAAUGGGAUCGUUUGCCUAUGUUUGCCGUUAGGGGCGCUGUUCCAACUGCAUACAAAAUUGGGUUA